rnacentral:lncRNA from 1 species
GGCCUGAGUCAGAGCUGGGCAGUGAUAUCCUGGCCUUAAUCAACAAUGGAAACAAAAACAUCCCUAACAGGGACAAUAAAGUGACCAUGCUGCUACAGGAGUCUCUGGGUAAUAUUUUAACUGUCGUACGACCGUGCUGGCCCAUGUGACUGACUUACCAGAACACUGCUCAGAGACACUGUCAACUGUCCAGAUCACCUCACGCAUUCGUAGGACACAGAAGAAGGCAAAAAUAUCAUUCAACAACCUGCUCUCCCAGUGGUAGAAGCCUGACUAGAGAGUGGAGUGGAGGGAACUCCACCAGUGCUGUAGACUCUGACCUCAGUGACCUGCCCCAGCUCAGGCUCAGUGGCGACCUGCUAGAUGGCCACUCCAGCAGUGACCAGUCCUGUGACACGGUCAUUCACGUCAACCCUGAUGGCUCUGUCCAGCAGCCCGGUACGGAGCUGUACCAGCAGGGCCAGCCGGAGUUUACCCCCAUCAUCCCCUUUCUACACCAGCAUAAGGCUGAAGAGGAAUCGGAAGCUAUGCUUUUUGCUCUACAGCAAGAACUAAUGCUGCACCUUCUAAACAUCAUGCCCAGACCGGAGGGAGAGAGGAAGGAGAAUGAGAGCAUCGUCCAAGAACAACUUUUUCAGAAUACAGCAGAAGAAGUGGGCCAGUGUGAGAGGGACUUGAGUCUUAACUGUGACACGUUCGCCAAGCUGCAGGAGCGACUUGGGUGCAUCGACAGGAGCGAGACGGUUACCACAACUAAGUCCUCUCCAGUCCCCCAAGAUGGCUCAGGCUGACCUGAGACUGGGGAGAAUACCCCUUUCUUUAAACCACUGAAUAUGGAUUUGAAGUGUAGUGAGUUUUCCAUUGUGGCUGAGAAAGAGAGCUUGGUGACAGAUGGCAGUCUUCCUGUCGACAAUAUUCAGAGAGGACUCUGGUCUGUAUGACUGUGAGGAUGGCAGUGCAGCCAGCUCCAACGAGGACCAACCACACCCCUGGGGCUCUAUCAGUUUACAUUCAGUCUGCCAGAGCCUGAGCCAGGGCAACCCCUCUGAGUACAGCUACCUACCACAGCACCGUGAAAUCUAUUCUCAGAUCAGCCCUGUGCCAAACUCACAUCCUCCUCUUCCCCUGUCUCUGGAGCCAGCUGGAUACCCAGGGAGGUCUGACUGGCUGCAACCCAAGACCAGGACCUCUCCGGCGGUCAAGAGCUCCCCGAUAUCCCCCUCUCUCUCUCCAUCCCUCUUCUCCCCCUCGUCCUCCACCACCUCCUCCUUGGCUACCAGUGUUCCCUUAGGAGAGAUGAUCCUUCCCCAGCUGUCCACCACAGAGUUAGACCUAAAGGAUAUGAAGGCUACCAUCACAGUGACGGUCUAGCAGCCGUUGGGACAGACGGGUCAGGACGAGCUGGUGUUCAAUGCGGCAGAGGAGGUAGGAGCUAUCCCAUAAGAGGGGACGUUACCACCUGUUUCCUCACCUGUCAUGACAGAGUCCUACCUGUUCCCUCUUCCUUAAUUACUGCAAAGCUGUCUGGGGACUGUAGUGAAAGCAGCCGGAAUACACCAGAGAACUGUAACCCUGGUUACCCUGCAGCUAACCAACACAGAAUAGCCAGUCUACCAAGAGGCAGGCAUAAUAUCAACAAGCAGGAGAGCUAUAGUCUGAUGAGAGAGGAGUAUACAAAUAAGGAACCAGAUGUUACAUCAUCCACCCCUGGUAGUCCCAGGGUGACCCUGGAGAGGAGGCCAUCCUCAGCCAGGCAGGGGAUCUGCUCCUGGGCCAGGGAGAGCCUCCCUCUCCCCUUCUCACCAGCUCGGAAGUACAGCCUGGAGCAGCAUACCCAGAGACAGAGAACUAGUAACAGUUCUCUCAGCACAGCCAGUAGUUCACCGUUGGAGCCCAUGCCAUCCACUCUGAGUGUUAGACAUGAUAGCGGGAAGCUGAAAUCCCCUGUAGUGGAAAGCAGUAGGCUGUUCAGUGCUAAACUAGAGCAGAUGGCUAGCAGGACCAACUCUUUAGGUAGAAUACCACUGGAGUUCCACACUCUGGACCGAGGCAGUAGCCUGUCCUCUGUGAGCUCCAAGGGGUCCAAAAGUUUUGAAUGGGAGUCAAACCAUCCCACCCUACCCUGGGCCAGCAGGAGCCCAAGGAGGGCCCCUAGGCCCAUUCCCUUGACGGAUAACAACACCCCCAACACAGCCCAUUCUCCCAAAACCAGCAGGUCAACCUUUAUAACUGACCCCAACACAACCCUCCAGUCUCCAAGAUCCGGCCCGUCUAAGCUCUCUGCAGCAGGGAAACCCGCCCUAAUGCCCGCCGGAUCUCCAUCCCUAGUACCAAGAACCUCAGCUUCUCUCUCAAGGAGCUCCAUCAGUCCAUCAACAGGAGCACCGGUCUUUCCCCUGAUGGGAAGAGUCCUGAGCAAAGUCCACCCUGGUCCACCCAGUCUCUAAGCCAUAACCAGACCCGGUCGCCUCAGACCCCACCACCACGCCUUGCACCAAAGUCCCCCGUCCGGGUCAUCAACGGGCACAUCUUAGAGCUGCUUAGGGGGGCCUCCGGAGGACUACCCCCGGCAGUGGCCGGAGUUACCUGUAGAUCGAUGGGAGAGGCUCACGCUGAUCACCCUGUACCCUCGCCCUAUGCCAGGUUGACCGCCCCCGCAGGCCCAAUCACCUCAGCGGGCACGCCAGUGAUGUCACUAGCGUGUUGAGCGGGGAGCUGCCCCCGGCCAUGGGGAAGACAGCGUUAUUGACCAAUAGGGACAGCAUGGUGAGCAGUGGCUAUGAGAGCAUGGUAAGAGACAGCGAAGCCACAAGGAGCAACACAUCCAACAGAGACUCUAUCAGCGAUAAGAGCUGUUCUAUUAUCAGUGUGGCCCAGAUUGGGAGGAACCCUAAGAGGAGCAGCAGCAAUGGCUCCCACCCGCGGCGUCUCUCCCACGACACGUCCCUGUCUCUCAGGAGGUCAGCCAGUGCCCCCAGAUCUCGCUGGAUAGAGAGUGACAUCCCAGAGGCCUAUGAGAUCAAGGUGUAUGAGAUAGACGACGUGGAGAGGCUGCAGAGGAGGAGGAGACACACAGGGGAUAGCUUGCUUCAGUGCCAAACUCAAGUUCCUGGAGCACCGUCAGCAGAGGGUGGAGGAGAUGAGAGCCAAGUACAACAGCCUGAAGACAGAGCUGGAGCUGGCCAAACAGAACCUCAGGCUGGAGCCAGGGAAAUGGAACAUGGAGUUUGACCUGUGGCAGACGUUUGAGGUGGACUCUCUGGAGCACCUGAAAGCCUUGGAGGUUGUCACGGCGAGGCUGGAGAGCAGGGUCAACCUCUGCAAUGUCAACGUCAUGAUGGUCACAUGCUUCGAUGUUGCCACCAAGCGCCGGCAAGCGAGGAGAUGACGUCGGACGGACAGCAGCAAGGACUCAUGCAGGGUGUUGAAGAGGUGAGCUGCUCAAGGGUUUCCGAGGAUCAGGGAGAGCCCCAAACAACCCCAACAAGAAGACCAGAAUACAAAGAGAUGAAAUAAUAGACCUUAUCCACUCACUGAUGAUACAACCUUCUACUCAUACUUUCCCAACUGCAACAACAACAACAAACUGCCAGAAUCCAAUACGAGUAAGUGGCAACCCUAAAGCAGCCAGCCACGUCCCUCCUGUGGGCCCCGACCCACCGUUUGGGAACCACUGAGUUGGAGGAGAACAACAGCGUGAAGGAGAGGAUGGGUAACAAGAGCACCAGCCCCUCCAGAGACCCAGACACUGAGACGACUCCGAGAGAGGAGAGAAACAACACUGGAACUGCCUCAGGAAGUGGUCCCCCAGGCCCCAGCCCUGACCUGCUAGCCUCACUACAGUCAUUGGGAGAACACAAUGACCACACACUGCUGCCACAGUCUCUACACCAGAUAGCAGAGGCCUACUCCCUGGAUGAGGACUACCAGUGGGCGGUGCAGUUCCUGCAGCUGGAGAAACUGUACCAUGAGCGCCUCCUGUCCAACCUUGCCGCCCUGCAGGAGGACUGGGAGAGCCAGUGGAGAGAGCGUAACAGAGUAGCAGAGAGCACCUCCCCAGCUGAGACCAACAGCACUGGACAGGAACACAUAGAAAUACUGAGCCAGAUCUGCAGGACGCACCAGAGACCAAUGCUUAGUGCGGAAAUGAGCAUGGCAGACACGGUGCUGAAAGACAGCCACAACACCAGGGGGCAGUGUGAUGGGAGAGAGAAAGAAAGGUCACCAUCCCAUCAUGGAAAAGGUCAACACAAAACCCAUCAGAUGAAUUCCUAAAUCAAUAUUAUAGUAUGGCCACUUAGCCUAGAGAUGUGAAUUCGAGGUUGAUGAUAUCGCCCUCUUUGUUCACUGGAAAGCCUCAG